rnacentral:tRNA from 1 species
CCUUGGAUGACUGAGAAUUUUAAGUGUUAGAUUUUUAAUCUAAAGACGGCAAGUAUGCCUCUAAGGG